GUGGGGAAUAUUGGACAAUGGGCGAAAGCCUGAUCCAGCCAUGCCGCGUGUGUGAAGAAGGCCUUUUGGUUGUAAAGCACUUUAAGCGAGGAGGAGGCUUACCUGGUUAAUACCUGGGAUAAGUGGACGUUACUCGCAGAAUAAGCACCGGCUAACUCUGUGCCAGCAGCCGCGGUAAUACAGAGGGUGCAAGCGUUAAUCGGAUUUACUGGGCGUAAAGCGCGCGUAGGUGGCCAAUUAAGUCAAAUGUGAAAUCCCCGAGCGUAACUUGGGAAUUGCAUUCGAUACUGGUUGGCUAGAGUAUGGGAGAGGAUGGUAGAAUUCCAGGUGUAGCGGUGAAAUGCGUAGAGAUCUGGAGGAAUACCGAUGGCGAAGGCAGCCAUCUGGCCUAAUACUGACACUGAGGUGCGAAAGCAUGGGGAGCAAACAGGAUUAGAUACCCUAGUAGUCC
rnacentral:rRNA from 1 species